CAGAGCUUCGAAGCCUGGAGGGUUUACUCUUCAGGCGAGAACUCCACCCUUUGUUUACAUUACCUUUGUUGCUUUAGCAGGCCCGCCCUUGGGCCGCCGGCAUUAGCUGGUCCGCGCCUGCUAGAGGACCUAAAAUUCAUGUUAAUAAAGUUGUCUGAGUACUAUAUAAUAGUUA
rnacentral:misc_RNA from 1 species